GACGAACGUUGGCGGCGUGCUUAACACAUGCAAGUCGAACGGAAAGGCCCUGCUUUUGUGGGGUGCUCGAGUGGCGAACGGGUGAGUAACACGUGAGUAACCUGCCCUUGACUUUGGGAUAACUUCAGGAAACUGGGGCUAAUACCGGAUAGGAGCUCCUGCUGCAUGGUGGGGGUUGGAAAGUUUCGGCGGUUGGGGAUGGACUCGCGGCUUAUCAGCUUGUUGGUGGGGUAGUGGCUUACCAAGGCUUUGACGGGUAGCCGGCCUGAGAGGGUGACCGGCCACAUUGGGACUGAGAUACGGCCCAGACUCCUACGGGAGGCAGCAGUGGGGAAUAUUGCACAAUGGGCGGAAGCCUGAUGCAGCAACGCCGCGUGCGGGAUGACGGCCUUCGGGUUGUAAACCGCUUUCGCCUGUGACGAAGCGUGAGUGACGGUAAUGGGUAAAGAAGCACCGGCUAACUACGUGCCAGCAGCCGCGGUGAUACGUAGGGUGCGAGCGUUGUCCGGAUUUAUUGGGCGUAAAGGGCUCGUAGGUGGUUGAUCGCGUCGGAAGUGUAAUCUUGGGGCUUAACCCUGAGCGUGCUUUCGAUACGGGUUGACUUGAGGAAGGUAGGGGAGAAUGGAAUUCCUGGUGGAGCGGUGGAAUGCGCAGAUAUCAGGAGGAACACCAGUGGCGAAGGCGGUUCUCUGGGCCUUUCCUGACGCUGAGGAGCGAAAGCGUGGGGAGCGAACAGGCUUAGAUACCCUGGUAGUCCACGCUGUAAACGGUGGGUACUAGGUGUGGGGUCCAUUCCACGGGUUCCGUGCCGUAGCUAACGCUUUAAGUACCCCGCCUGGGGAGUACGGCCGCAAGGCUAAAACUCAAAGGAAUUGACGGGGCCCCGCACAAGCGGCGGAGCAUGCGGAUUAAUUCGAUGCAACGCGUAGAACCUUACCUGGGUUUGACAUGGAUCGGGAGUGCUCAGAGAUGGGUGUGCCUCUUUUGGGGUCGGUUCACAGGUGGUGCAUGGCUGUCGUCAGCCCGUGUCGUGAGAUGUUGGGUUAAGUCCCGCAACGAGCGCAACCCUUGUUCACUGUUGCCAGCACGUUAUGGUGGGGACUCAGUGGAGACCGCCGGGGUCAACUCGGAGGAAGGUGGGGAUGACGUCAAGUCAUCAUGCCCCUUAUGUCCAGGGCUUCACGCAUGCUACAAUGGCUGGUACAGAGAGUGGCGAGCCUGUGAGGGUGAGCGAAUCUCGGAAAGCCGGUCUCAGUUCGGAUUGGGGUCUGCAACUCGACCUCAUGAAGUCGGAGUCGCUAGUAAUCGCAGAUCAGCAACGCUGCGGUGAAUACGUUCCCGGGGCU
rnacentral:rRNA from 1 species